UCAAAUUUCAACGUGAGAUUUGGAGAGGACAAAUAUCCAAAUGAUUUGGGAAGCCUGUUUUUCUUUGUAAAUACAUUUAUAUUUAGUUAUGUUUUUAUUGUUUUUGCUAUUUUUAGUCUUUCGACAUCAGAUAAACUCCAGCCUUUUCUUUAGCCCUGUUUUGCUUUUUUCUUUCAUGAAGUUCCAGGAGAAAGUGAAGUACCAGUAUAAACGAAGAGAGAGAAUCCUACAGAAUAGCCCAAUUUCUUUCUGCAAGAAAAAGCCUAUUCCUGCCACUCUCCUACCUAAGAAGAGUUUGGGUGUCUGAGCUGGGCUUGGUGGCAGAAUCCCAGAUGCUUCACCUGGGCCAAACACAGCACAAGGAGAUCUCGGUGAUGAAGGGAAGACAGCUCUUAAAUAACCAAUGGCAUACCAGGAAUAUGCUUGUUGCUUCCUAUGUUAAUGAAAAUUGCAAAAUGUUAAUGUGCAAAAUUGAGAGGAUAUGUUCCGUACAUUACAGAUGUAAUAAAAUAUGAAUAGGUAACAGCUACUGUGUACGAUGAACCUAUGAAUGUAGCCUGUUCCUCAAACUUACUUGAUCACACUUAAAAAAAUAAACUAUAAUGAUAUAAGGCAAU
rnacentral:lncRNA from 1 species